AGACCCGAAACCCGGUGAUCUAGCCAUGGGCAGGUUGAAGGUUGGGUAACACUAACUGGAGGACCGAACCGACUAAUGUUGAAAAAUUAGCGGAUGACCUGUGGCUGGGGGUGAAAGGCCAAUCAAACCGGGAGAUAGCUGGUUCUCCCCGAAAGCUAUUUAGGUAGCGCCUCGUGAAUUCAUCUCCGGGGGUAGAGCACUGUUUCGGCUAGGGGGCCAUCCCGGCUUACCAACCCGAUGCAAACUGCGAAUACCGGAGAAUGUUAUCACGGGAGACACACGGCGGGUGCUAACGUCCGUCGUGAAGAGGGAAACAACCCAGACCGCCAGCUAAGGUCCCAAAGUCAUGGUUAAGUGGGAAACGAUGUGGGAAGGCCCAGACAGCCAGGAUGUUGGCUUAGAAGCAGCCAUCAUUUAAAGAAAGCGUAAUAGCUCACUGGUCGAGUCGGCCUGCGCGGAAGAUGUAACGGGGCUAAACCAUGCACCGAAGCUGCGGCAGCGACGCUUAUGCGUUGUUGGGUAGGGGAGCGUUCUGUAAGCCUGUGAAGGUGGCCUGUGAGGGUUGCUGGAGGUAUCAGAAGUGCGAAUGCUGACAUAAGUAACGAUAAAGCGGGUGAAAAGCCCGCUCGCCGGAAGACCAAGGGUUCCUGUCCAACGUUAAUCGGGGCAGGGUGAGUCGACCCCUAAGGCGAGGCCGAAAGGCGUAGUCGAUGGGAAACGGGUUAAUAUUCCCGUACUUGGUGUUACUGCGAAGGGGGGACGGAGAAGGCUAUGUUGGCCGGGCGACGGUUGUCCCGGUUUAAGCGUGUAGGUGUGUGUUCCAGGUAAAUCCGGUUCACUUUAACACUGAGGCGUGAUGACGAGGCACUACGGUGCUGAAGUAACAAAUGCCCUGCUUCCAGGAAAAGCCUCUAAGCAUCAGGUAACAUCAAAUCGUACCCCAAACCGACACAGGUGGUCAGGUAGAGAAUACCAAGGCGCUUGAGAGAACUCGGGUGAAGGAACUAGGCAAAAUGGUGCCGUAACUUCGGGAGAAGGCACGCUGACAC
rnacentral:rRNA from 3 species